CAGUACCAUUUCUACCUUCAUGCCACCGUGGACUCUGCCAUGAUGACAAUGGACUAACUUCUGAAACUACUUUUCAUGACAAUGAGACACAUCUGCUCCUGGCAGCACCAAGCUACUUCCUGAAGAAGAUGGGUAUCGAAGAGGCUCCUUAGCCAUUUGGGCAAGAAACUGCUCUUGCCUAGACCGCUUCACUGGACAGGAAGUACCCACAGAGAGAGGACUGCUGAACUUGCCUAAAGUUCUGCCCUAUCAGAAGGCCAAGGCAGUUUCUUUAUUCAACCAACGAAAGCAACACAUAAAAAGAAGGACCUCCUACACCAGUCCUUCAGGGUUCCUGCUUCAUGAAAUCAUCUGCAAGACAUUCUGCAGGACACAGAAGAAAGUGACUGAAAAUUUCCAGCUUCAUAGAAAAGUCUACUGGAUAUUAUCGGCCUGUAGGCUGAAGAUGAAGAUGGAUGCCUGACCAGAAGAGUGCAUAGGUGGAGACUGUACAACUGGAUAUUUCACAUACAGUGGCUCACCUCCCAGAUCUCUACUCCUUCUCAUCAUAUGAAUAACAUACAAGGAAAUGCACAUAAAGAAACUCAGCCUAGUAGAUUGGUGAUGACCCC